rnacentral:rRNA from 1 species
GGACCGCGACUGCAUCUUUAUUAGAGUUGAUCCUGGCUCAGGAUGAACGCUGGCGGCGAUGCCUAAUACAUGCAGUCGAGCGAAUGGAUUAAGAGCUUGCUCUUAUGAAGUUAGCGGCGGACGGGUGAGUAACACGUGGGUAACCUGCCCAUAAGACUGGGAUAACUCCGGGAAACCGGGGCUAAUACCGGAUAACAUUUUGCACUGCAUGGUGCGAAAUUGAAAGGCGGCUUCGGCUGUCACUUAUGGAUAGGACCCGCGUCGCAUUAGCUAGUUGGUGAGGUAACGGCUCACCAAGGCAACGAUGCGUAGCCGACCUGAGAGGGUGAUCGGCCACACUGGGACUGAGACACGGCCCAGAAACCCCAUUUUCCCCCCCCAUUUUCAAAACCCCGGG